CAUCACCUACUCACCCACUGAUCCAACCGUCCAUCCUUUCAAUCAUGUAUCCAUCCACCUAUCCAUCCAGCCACCCACUCACCUAUCCAUCACCCAUUCACCCAUCUGUCCAUCUAUCUGUCCAUCCAGCCAUCCCUUCCUCCAUCUAUCCACCACUCCACCCACCCACUUACCCACCUAGCCAUCCAUCUAUCCAUUCACCUAUCCAACCAUCCAUCACCCAUCCACCCGUCCAUCCACUUAUCCACCUAGCUACUUACCCACCCAUCCACUCACCCAUCCAUUGCCCACCCACCCAUUCAUCCAUCCAUCUGUGCAUCAUCCAUUCAGUCAAUGUUUAUUGAGCACCUACUCUGUCCUAUAACCUAUGUCAGCCUCAGGAAUAGACCCAAAGUUUCAUGAGGCACAGUCUGGGUCAUCAAGCACAGACCCUCUGCCCUGGGCUGAUGCACCUUUGUCAUAACCCUUGUAUCACUCUUUGCUCCCCUCUGGCCUUUCCCCCUGGCACCUCUACAUCCUUCAACUCCUUAAAAUCUCCUUCAGCAAGUCUCUCUUGUUUACAGCAGCACAUGUGAAGCCCAGAGAGGUUGAGUAAUUGUCAAAGAUCGUGCAGUGGCUCAGAGUAGUCCUGAACUGAGGACCAAAGUCCCAGUCAUGCUGGCGAGUUAGUCUCUGCUGCUGGGGGUCACACAGUGAGGUGAGGAAAGCAGUCUUUGGGGCCAGGCAGCCCUGGGUUCAAUCUUGGCUCCUCUGAUCCCUUACUGGGGGCCAUGGGCGAGUUGCUGACCUCUCUGGCAACCCUGACUUGGACUGGAGGCUAGUCCUUCCUACCUGACAGAAGGUGGUGAGGAGGGAAGCAGACACGACUUGAGCCCUGCCCAGCCCUGUGGCUGGCACACUGUAAGGGCAAGGGACGUGGCAGCAGCUAUUACAUCAUAGCAAGGGGUUACCAUGUGACCUCAGGAAGAGAUGCCUCUGCCCUUGCCUUUUCACCCCAGUGUAUGCCAGUUACCUUUCCCUGAGGGGUUAAUGGCUCUCCAGUGAAUAGCUGUGGGCAAACCUCACUUUAAGCAGACCUGGCAUAAAGAACGUUGGGUCAUGGCACAAUUUCUACCAUCCACAGGGGCCUGCCUGAUUCACAGAAUCCUAAGUCUGGACAUUUCAAUCCUAUUGUAAGUGCAACAGACAUCUCAUAUCAAGCUCUUGCUAUUCUCAAUGCUAUCACUACUCCCACUUCGCAGAUGGGAAAACCAAGACUCAGAGAGAAGGCACCUCUCAGCGGAACUAGGAAUUUAGUCAAAAACGAGAAACCACCCAUAUGCCCAGCACGAGAUUGGCUCCCAGAUUAUGGAAGAGCCACACCAGAAAACUCCUUUGCAGGCAUUAGGAAUGAUUUGUGGAGGGGCACCUGGGUGGCUCAUUCGGUUGAGCAUCCGAUUUUGGCCCAGGUCAUGAUCUUGUGGUUCCUGAGCUCAAGCCCUGUGUUGGGCUCACAGCUGUCAGUGCGGAACCUGCUUGGGACUCUCUCUCCCUCUUUCUCUCUGCCCCUCCUGUGCUCACUCUCUCUCUCUCU